UAUGGCAGAAUAGUGCAAUGGAUUUAAACCCCAUAUAUAAAAUUAAAAAUUUUUAUUAAAA
rnacentral:tRNA from 1 species